GAUCUUGUUCCCUUCUUGGAACUGUACCUCAGCCACAAGAUCCCCUUCCCAAAUCCGGAUACUUUCUAUCCACCUCAACUCUUCCAGACCCACAUCCCUUUUACUUCAUUAUCACAAUAUGUAAUGGAAUCUCAGUGUCGAAUUGUCUAUAUUUGCCGAAAUCCGAAAGAUGUGUUUGUUUCUACAUUUUACUUCCUAGAGAAAGUGAGAGAUAAGAAGUUAACACCCCUUUCACUUGAGAAGGCAUUUGAGCGGUUCUGUAAAGGGGUCUCUCUGUAUGGACCCUUCUGGGAUCAUGUAUUAGGGUACUGGAAGGCAAGCUUGGAAGUGCCUGACAGGGUGCUGUUCUUGAAAUACGAAGAUAUGAAGAGGGACUCCUCUUUUCAUCUCAAAAGAUUGGCAGAAUUCAUGGGCUACCCUUUCUCUGUAGAGGAAGAAAAACAAGGAGUGGCGCAUGACAUUCUAGAGCUGUGCAGUUUCGAGAACCUAAGGAAUUUGAAGGUGAACAAGACAGGAAAAAUAAUUACAAGUAACAAUAAUCAAGUGGAGAAUCAUAGAUUUUUCAGGAAAGGUGAGGUUGGAGACUGGAAGAGACAUCUAACAGCUGAGAUGGAGGACGGCCUUAACAAGCUGAUUGAGCAAAAGUUGGCUGGUUCUGGUUUGGCAUUCCGUGACUCCUCCGAGGCAUGAGCGCCUGUCUAUCCACUGAGUUGCGGAUGUGAUUAUGUGUGGGUUUGUAUUAAGUUAAGUGGUUUGAGGGUGAAUUAAUAUUUUGUAUUAAUAGUUAAGUAGUUUGCAUUUAUUGGUGUGAAUGUACGAAUUUUCCGAGUUUGUUUGGUAAUUAUUUUCAAAAAUAAUUUUAAAAAACAGUCUUUAAAAACAAUUUUAAAAAAUUGUAUCCAAAUUCUAAAUAAUUCUCCACAAAUGCCCAAGUUGGUUGGAGCGGCUCUUAUUUGCUGAUUGUUGAAGAAACAGAGGCAAGAGGAAAGCCAAGUGAACAAAACGUUCUAAAUGUCCUGCAAUUGUUUUUCUUUUUGCCCACAUUUUCUUGGUUACCAAACAGAGCACCGAUGAACAUAAUAUGGAAUUAAGAGUAUGAAGGCAGCCUGUGUUGUUCACUGAAAUGUGGGUAUCAUCAUUUUCUGCACCUGUCAACUUCUUUAGAACUUGGCUUAAUGGGGAUCAUACAGAACCACUAAAACCAGCAAAAUCUAAGGGCCUGGAUCAGCUGUCACCAGUUUUGAUCCUGUUUUUGGAAGUCACUAUUCUCAUGAAAAGUGCAUAGCACAUUCUGGGGAACUCAUCUGGAUUUUGAAUGUUGGGAUUUCGUGGCCUGUCUCAAACACCGCAAAUACUUCAAAACACCAAAUCAUAAACAACCAAGUUCAUCCUUCUUAUACGAUGAGUUGGUGAGAGAGCUAUGUUUUCUUCAUCCCCCUGAGUUCCAGCACUCAGGUAUGAAUUGAUGUGUACCCAAGAAGCUAACCAUACAAACUCAUCUGGAUUUUGAAUGUUGGGAUUUCGUGGCCUGUCUCAAACACCGCAAAUACUUCAAAACGUACACCAAAUCAUAAACAACCAAGUUCAUUCUUCUUAUACGAUGAGUCGGUGAGAGAGCUAUGUUUUCUUCAUCCCCCUGAGUUCCAGCACUCAGGUAUGAAUUGAUGUGUACCCAAGAAGCUAACCAUACAAGCAACAGGGUAGAAUAGCCACAGGUUGAAGGCAAAACAGUCACCAAUGGGAGAUAAGGAUUGCAACAGUAAGGCAUGGAGAAGAGAAUGCAUUCUAGAAGUAAAUUAUCUUACAAUAGAGACCAGAUUAUCUGGUCCAUGUUUAAAAUGACAGACGAGAAGAAAACAGUAUCUGGUUUCAAUUACAAAUGAAAUCCAAAAGAGCUUUGAGAUUAUUACAAAAAUGGCUGCAGAUCAAAUGAUUCUACAGCUUGCAGAAGGGGAAAAAAGAACACCCCAUCAGCCAAAAAUGAAUCCUCCACACCCCAUUACCUAGAAGGUUUAUACUCUAAUGUAUAAGAAUCAUUUUUCCCUUUCAAGAUAUUAUAACAAAAAAGAAAAGAAAAAAGUUAAAGAAAAAGAAAAGCUGCUAAGAGAGCCAAAAUUUUUCACUUCUGACCCUACAAUAAAGCGUUCACAAGUUGAGAAAUAAAAUAUUGAGGAUCGCAUAAAUUACCCACAAUUAUGAAGUAGCAUGUUUCAACUUGUGACACAAUCUUGAAGGUAUGGGUGGCUCUGAUUUACAUACCGUUCCCAUAGAGGCUUGUACCUGCCAAUAGCCAAUUUCAGCCAUGGCUUCAUGUUUCCAUUGAAGUGAAUCACUGCAGCAGUCUCAAUCAGACGGUUGUCAAUGUUCAGAUCAUAACCCAAUCCUAGCACAUGCCAUUUUAGAUCAAGUGGUUCUGUUAGUCCACAAAAGGUCAAAAGACCAGCAGGAAGGAUGCCCAUCUUCCAUAGUGUCUGGUCAGCAUUCUGACCCUGCCAGAAAUGAUACCUUGCAGUCACAUUCGCUUUUCUCCAUCCAAUCAAAUCAAAAACAUUCAUACCAAAUGCCCAUCCACAAGCCUGUGGGUCAAACUUUGAGCUGAUGAUUGUGUUUGAGAAAUUGAGAUACUUGUAAUAACGAUGAAAUGCUUCAAGACAAGUUUCCACAGCUCCAUUCACAUUUCCAUGCAAAUCCAAUGAAAAAAGUGAGGUCAAAUCCUUCUGGACAACAACAUCAUCAUCAAGGAAAACAACUUUCUCCAGCUGUGGAUAAAUCUAUGGGAUGUAAAAUCGUAGGUGAUUCAACAAAUAUAUAUACUUUGGGUUUCGAAACUUUGGUUCAACCUCCAAAUCUUCAGACCCCUUAAAAUAAUAUUCUCGUGAAUCUGCAUCAAGAAGCUGUUUCAUAACUGGAGCAUAAGAAGCAUUCAACCAGGGUAUUUUGGAUGUUUAUUCAAGUUCUAAUGGUUUUAGCACCUCAGAGGCACCGAGACAAGAUAUUGGCAGUGAUCAUGUUGACAACAAUGAAUAGGCUGCAAAUCAACUUGAUAUUUUGGAGUUGGAAACCUUGGGAAAGUGUAAUAAUAAUAAUCACCAUGAGAUGAUGAGAUCUUCAAAAGAAGAGUUUCCUCCCUCACCCUCUUAUCAUCAGAGCAUUUUGGUGUCCUUGUCAACACGCUGUGUACGGAAGGAAACCGUGUGUGAGUGGACAGAUCUCUUUCAAAUAAAAUAUUAUGGAAGCUCUGAUAAGCCUUCAGGGUGUUUUUUUUACGAGAGCAGUUAUUUAAUCAGAGUUAUCUGUCACAAGAUGAUCCAAAUGAGCCCCUCCAUCGGCAUAUAUAGAGCCAGGAAACUUCUGGAGACUCCUAAAGCGGGAAGAGUGUGCAACGUUCUAGAGAUGUCUGGAGAAGUCCACACAACUCUACACUAUGGUGGAAGACAUGAGAAGAGUCCACAGCCUUCUAGAGAAUUCCAGAAGUCUCUUGUAUAUACUUGUACAUAGGUUUGUACCUAGAAUGAUGUAGGACAUUCUAGAAUAUACUUGAGUUAUAAGGAACCCUCCAAGGUUCUAGAGAGUUCCAUUGGUGCCUAUAAAUAGGUGAGGGCCUCAUUUGGCCAAGGCAUCAAGCAAGUGAGCUUCCAAGCACUUGUAAAGGCUUCCUUGAGUUAAUAAAAGCUUUCAUUCUUUAAAGAGUUGCCUACUAAGCUUCUUAAGCUUUCGAGUCUUGAGCGUCUUAGCCUAACAAGCUAAGCAUUGGGAACAAAACUAACUUAGCAAGAUCAAGCGUCUUUACUUGCCUAAGUGCCGCACGAGCUUAGUGAACGACUAAGUCCGUGACAAGUGGUAUCAGAGCACGGUUACGAAGUGGGCAUAGCAAAGAAAGCAUGUCAGGCUUUAACGUGGAAGAGACUAGCGAGCAAACCCGUGGAAGGGAGAUGGAGCAUACUGCACAGGGUAGAGGCAGGAAGGAUAAGUCUCGUGACGCCUUAGCCAACAUGGAGGCAAGGCUAGCCAAGGUGCAGCUAGCCAUGGCGGACACCCGGGAAGGGGUGGACUUGAUCGAGCAAGGCAUGGAGAAGGGCUUAGAGGAUCUAAGGGAGCAGAUCCAAAACCUUCUCGAGGGGGUGCUAGGCUCACAAGUUCAGCCGGUGUCACACGAGGAGUUCAUGUCCUUCUAAGACAAGGUCAUGAGCAUGUUCGCUAGUGUGGAGUCAAGGAUGGAUGCCUUAGUUACGCGCAUGGAGACCCAAGACCAAGAGAUUCGUCAAGAGCUGGCCAUCUACAAGAUUGCGGUAUCAGCACGAGUCAUGGCCACUCAUGAGGCACCAAGGGUGGAGGCGCCCAAGCCGCACACGUUUAGUGGCAAGAGGGAUGCUAAGGAAUUGGAUAACUUCUUAUGGCACAUGGAGCGUUACUUUGAGGCCAUUGCAUUGACGGAUGAAGCCACUAAGGUACACACCGCGACCCUCUACCUCACCGAUAAUGCUACUCUAUGGUGGCGUCGACGGUUUGCCGACAUAGAGAAAGGGACGUGCACCAUAGACACAUGGGAUGCCUUUUGAGAAAGAAAUCAAAAGGCAAUUCUAUCCCGAAGAUGUGGCUUACCUAGCAAGGAAGAGUAUGAAACGUCUCAAGCAUACAGGCUCGAUCCGUGAGUAUGUCAAGGAGUUCCCUACGCUUAGCUUGAGAUACCUAACAUGGUCGAGAAGGAGCUACUAUUUAACUUCAUGGACAACUUGCAAAGCUGGGCCGAGCAAGAGUUGAAGAGACGUGGUGUCCAAGACCUAGCCACGGCCAUGGCAGUAGCGGAGUCCUUGGUAGAUUAUAGAAGAGGAGACUUCUCCAAGUCAAAGCCACCAUCCAAGGGUAACCAGGACAAAGGUGGGGGAGACAAGGGAUCACGAGGCCACACUUCUAAGGAAUGAUCAAGCAAAUGCCCUAGUGGCAAGGAUGGCAAAGGUAAGGAUAAGCGGAAGGAGUUCACGCCCAGGACCAAUUGCUUCCUAUGCGAUGGUCCACAUUGGGCACGGGAUUGCCCUAAAAGAAAAGCUCUAAAUGCUAUGAUCGAGGAAAAGGAGUAGGAAGACAAUGCUAAAGUGGGAUCGUUGCAGCUCCUAAAUGCCCUUAAGGCCAAGCCAAUGCCUAAGACGCCUCAAAGCAAAGGGCUAAUGUAUGUAGAGGCCCUUGUGAAUGGGAAGGCCACCAAGGCCCUGGUGGACACUGGUGCCACUCAUAACUUUGUCUCAGAAGAUGAGGCAAGAAGGCUGGAGCUCCAAGCAUCCAAGUAAGGAGGAUGGCUCAAGGCAGUUAAUUUAGCUACCAAGCCAUCACAUGGAGUAGCUUGCGAGGUGACUAUGCACAUCGACUCAUGGGAAGGAAGGGUCGACUUCACAGUGGCACCCAUGGACGACUUCAAGAUGGUGCUAGGAAUGGACUUCCUACAAAAGGUCAAGGCCAUGCCACUACCUUUCCUACACUCAAUGGCUAUCCUAAAGAAGGAAAACCCCUGCAUGGUCCCUACAGUCACCGAAGGUACGCUCAAGAUUCCUAUGCUAUCAGCUAUGCAAGUUAAGAAGGGGUUAAAGAGGAAAGAGAUGACCUACCUCGCCACCCUGAAGGAAGAGAGGGAUGAUGGGUCGGAAGAACCCAUGCCUAAGGAAAUCGAGGGGGUCCUUAAUGAAUUCAAGGAAGUGAUGCCGCCCGAGUUGCCUAAGAGACUUCCUCCUAGGAGAGAGGAAGAUCACAAGAUUUAGUUGGAGUCGGGAGCCAAGCCCUUGCUAUGGGGCCAUAUCGGAUGGCACCACCUGAACUGGAUGAGCUAAGGAGACAACUCAAGGAGUUGUUAGACGCGGGGUUCAUCCAACCAUCCAAGGCUACCUAUGGAGCGCCGAUCUUGUUUCAGAAGAAGCACAAUGGAUCCCUACAGAUGUGUAUCGACUACCGGGCACUCAACAAGGUGACGAUAAAGAACAAGUACCCUAUCCCGCUCAUUGCUGACUUGUUCGAUCAACUUGGAAGGGUAAGAUACUUCACAAAGCUAGACUUAAGGUCAAGCUACUACCAAGUCAGGAUUGCGGAGGGGGACGAGCCAAAGACCACAUGUGUGACCAGGUACGACUCAUACGAAUUCCUAGUGAUGCCUUUUGGACUCACCAAUGCUCCUGCGACGUUCUGCACCCUUAUGAACAAGAUCUUCCACCCAUACUUAGACAAGUUUGUGGUGGUGUACUUGGAUGACAUAAUCAUCUGCAGUAUCACCCUGAAGGAGCACGUAGAGCAUUUAAGGAAGAUCUUCAAGAUCCUAAGACAGAACGAGUUAUAUGUAAGGAAGAAAAAUUGCUCAUUUGCUAUGGAGGAAGUGAGCUUCCUAGGCCAUCGCAUCAGAGAUGGCAAGCUGAUGAUGGAUGAUAGCAAGGUGAAAGCCAUCCAAGAAUGGGAUCCACCAACCAAGGUACCUCAACUCAAAUCUUUCCUUGGUUUAGUUAAUUACUACCGGCAGUUCAUCAAGGGUUAUUCGGCAAGGACAGCUCCACUCAUUGAUCUUCUUAAGAAGAAUAAGGCAUGGGAAUGAGACGAAAAGAGCCAACAAGCCUUUGAGGAUCUAAAGAAGGCUGUGACUAAGGAGCCGGUGUUGGCACUACCUGACCACACCAAAGUUUUUGAGGUACACACAGAUGCCUCAGACUUUGCUAUUAGGGGAGUCCUUAUGCAAGAAAGGCACCCGAUCGCAUUUGAGAGUCGCAAGCUAAACGACACGGAGAGGCGUUACACGGUGCAAGAAAAAGAGAUGACCGCCAUCGUCCAUUGCUUGCGCGCCUGGAGACAUUAUCUUCUAGGUCUCACUUCAUAGUGAAGACCGACAAUGUUGCCACUAGCUACUUCCAGACACAGAAGAAGCUAAGUCCUAAACAAGCUAUGUGGCCUGGCCAAGUUCUACUAUACGCUGGAGUAUAAGCCAGGAAGUGCUAAUCAUGUGGCCGACGCCCUAAGCCGCAAAGCGGAGCUAGCGUCCAUGAUGAGUCAGCCCCAAUGAGACAUAAUGGAUUUUUUAAGGGAAUGACUGCAACAUGAUCCAGUGGCUAAGAGCCUCAUCCCCCUGGCUCAUGAAGGGAAGACUAAGCGGUUCUGGGUAAAGGACGACCUACUCUACACUAAGGGGAGAAGACUCUACGUGCCUAAGUAGGAGAACGUAAGGCGGAAUCUGAUAAAGGAGUGUCAUGACACCAAGUGGGCUGGACACCUUGGACAACGACGCACGAGGGCACUACUCAAGUCGGCUUAUUAUUGGCCUCAAAUACGGGAUGAGGUUGAGGCUUAUGUGAGGACUUGUCUUGUGUGCCAACAAGACAAGGUGGAGCAACGACAACCUAGAAGCCUGUUGGAGCCACUACCUAUAGUAGAGCGCCCAUGGGACAGUGUCACUAUGGACUUCAUCAUCGGGCUACCCAAGUCGGAGGACAGCGGCUCUAUCAUAGUGGUAGUGGAUAGGUUCUCUAAGUAUGCAACCUUCAUAACAGCCCCGACUGACUACACUGCGGAAGAGACGGUGAGGCUAUUCCUAAAGCACUUAGUCAAGUAUUGGGGGUUGCCUAAAUUCAUCAUCAGUGAUCGCGAUCCGCGUUUCACUGGGAAGUUUUGGACGGAGCUCUUCAAGCUUAUGGGUUCGGGGUUUCACUUUUCCACAAGCUUUUACCCACAAACGGAUGGGCAGACUGAGAUGGUGAACACUUUAUUGGAGUUAUACUUAAGGCACUUCGUGAGUGCCAACCAGAAGGAUUGGGUUAAGUUGCUAGGCAUAACCCAGUUCUCGUACAACCUGCAAAGGAGUGAGGCAACCAAUAAGAGCCCGUUCGAGCUGGCCACAGGGCAGUAACCGUUAACUCCUCACACUCUAAGGAUUGGCUAUACGGGAAGAAGUCCAACGGCUUUCAAGUUCGUAAAAGGGUGGCACGAGUAAGCUGACAUAGCGUGCUCAUACUUGGACAAGGCCGCUAAGAAAAUGAAGAAGUGGGCUGACAAGAAUCGAUGUCACACGGAGUACAAGGACGGAGACAUGGUGCUUGUCAAGCUCUUUCCUCAACAAUUCAAAUCCCUAAGGCCGGUGCAUAAGGGUCUUGUGAGGAAAUAUGAAAAACUCUUCCCCAUACUUGGGAAGGUCGGCAAAGUGUCCUAUAGAGUUAAGUAACCAGCAAGGUUGAAGAUUCAUCAUGUCUUCCAUGUAAGCUACUUGAAACCCUAUCAUGAAGACAAGGAUGAUCCAAGCCGAGGGUUGUCUAAGAGGGCACCCACAACGGUCGUGACCUCCUAUGAUAAGGAGGUAGAACACGUCCUCGCAGAUCGGGUCAUCAGGAGACGAGGUGUACCACCUGCUACAGAUUACUUGGUGAAAUGGAAGAGACUACCAGAGAGCGAGGCUAGCUGGGUGCCAGCAGAUGCACUAUGGCAGUUCUAGGAGCAGAUUGAGCAGUUCCGAGCAGAAGGCGCGACGAGGACGUCUGUGGCAUAGGUGGGGGAGAUUGUCACAAUAUGAUCCAAAUGAGCCUCCCCAUGGGCUUAUAUAGAGCCAGGAAGCUUCUGGAGACUCCUAAAGCGGGAAGAGUGUGGAACGUUCUAGAGAUGCCUGGAGAAGUCCACACAACUCUACAUUAUGGUGGAAGACAUGAGAAGAGUCCACACCCUUCUAGAGAAUUCCAGAAAUCUCUUGUAUAUACUUGUACAUAGACUUAUACCUAGAAUGAUGUAGGACAUUCUAGAAUAUACUUGAGUUGUAAGGAACCCUCCAAGGUUCUAGAGAGUUCCAUUGGUGCCUAUAAAUAGGUGAGGACCUCAUUUGGCCAAGGCACCAAGCAAGUGAGCUUCCAAGCACUUGUAAAGGCUUCCUUGAGUUAGUAAGAGCUUCCAUUCUUUAAAGAGUUGCCUACUAAGCUUCUUAAGAUUUCGAGUCGUGAGCAUUUUAGCCUAGCAAGUUAAGCAUUGGGAACAAGGCUGAUUUAGGAAGAUCAAGCGUCUUGACUUGCCUAAGUGUCGCACGAGCUUAGUGAACGACUAAGUCUGUGACAUAUCGCCGUCGUUCAUGCAAUAUGCCAUCAGAAUCACAUGUUCAUUGUUAUACACCGAUUCAAGGCAACCUUACUAUUUCUAUAAAGAAGCUUCAAGGAAUUGCUUUACCAGGGGAGCGAAAAGGAAAAUUUUGGAUGUGGCAUAGGUGUCUGCUAUGUCCUCGCACCAAUGGGUUCUCUCCAGCAACACGCAGAGUAGUGAUGUCUGAUGCUGCAUAGGAUUCGUCUUUUUGGAGAAUUUCAGAACUCAGCUUUUCAAACCAUGCUACUGCAAGCAGGGCCCUGAUCGAAAUUUCUCUAUUGUACCAAAAUACUUAGCCUUUUUACGUAGUAACUCUGGUCAAGAAAAACUAGAGAAAGAGUCACUACGGCUUUUGUAGUAUUCCGGGUAUCGUUCUCAAGGACUGGCUUAUGAAAAUUGUUAAUACUAAAAUAAAUGAAUUGUUUUUGUUUAAAUCAUUAAGUGAAAAACAAUAUGUGAAUAAUGUGAAACUAAGUAAAAGAAAUUAAAUUAAUAAGAGAAAAUGAAUAUUGAUUUUAAAUUCAAUUGAUUCAAGUUUGGGGUUUUCCACAAUCCAACCUAGGGUAUAGAAAUUAUAGAAAACAAGGGUAUUUUAAGUAAUAUGAUCUUAGGGUUUUGGGAUCCUUGGCCACGAUCAAGUUGAGUUCUAUAACUCAAAAUUGCAUCCGAAACCUAAUUUUUCCUUUUUUAAAACAGAUUCCUAAAACCAUCAAAUGAAUGAGAUUGAUUAUCAAUUUAAGAUUUGGCUUUUUAACUAUUCCUACUCCUUAUAGCUUUGUUUAGGGGCAAAUAACGGUAGGUAAAAUGGGAAUAACUAAUGAUCAAGAAUUACCAAGAAUCACUAGUAUCAAGUAAUAACCUACUGUAUCAUUCCCUAAACGAACUCACAAGGAUAGGAUAAAAAAAAUUGAUAAAUUGUCACUCAACCAAUAAUUAAUCUCAUUGUUAUAAUAAUUCACCCAUUGUCCCUAUAGGUUUCCUAGACCUUAGGUUUUCAUGCUUCAAGCCCCAAGUUGGAUCUUAGCCUCUCAUGGGGGUGAUGUCACAUUCACAAUCCAUAAUAGGGUAAAAAUCCAUAAUUUGAAUCAAAAGAAACUAAAAACAAUAUAUUCAAUAAAGAAGAAAAAGAAAACAAACCAAAGUUCUCGUCUUCUUCCUCCUUCAAUGUCAAAAACUCUAGAAAAAAAUCCAAGAUCCCUCAAACCUAGAAUUGAGAGAGUUUAUAUAAUAUCCUCAAUUACCUAACAUGUGGCACACUCUCAUUGGCCAUUUAUUACAAAAUAAUUUCCUAAAAAUGAUUAAAAAAUAAUAAAAUGAUGAUUUCUAGUCGUGUGGGGUCCACCUAGGGCGGAUGGAGUGCUUUAGAUGCAAUUCCCGAGGUAGAGGAGGCGGAACAUCAAAGUGGCAGUGGGUGAAUUCAAAAUUGGUGUCAUUUCGAAGUGGAUUUCAAAUUCAUAAGUUGAAUUUCGAAAUCAUAAGUUGAAUUUCGAAAUCAUUUCUAAAUGACCCUCCAACUUGGUGCAGUUGUCUUCAAAUGGCUAUAACUUCUCCAUUUCAGCUUCGAUUUGCAAAACGUUUGAAGCGUUGGACUCCUGACUUCCCAAGCUUCAAAACAAUAUAUAGUAUGUAUAUAAUGGACUCCAGAAAGUGCUCCAAAUUUGUCCUCAAAGUCAGAGUAUAUAAUGCCAUCAGAUUUUUGAGUUCUAAAUUUCCAUGCAGCUAAAUCUUGCUUCAUGCCUCAUUUCCCUUGCUUUCUUGCCUUCUUUCUUACUCCAUAAUGGUCAUUUAUCAUCCUCCAACCUCAUGAUAUCCUUGUUUUUCCUUUCCUUACGUUCAAUGAGUCUUGAUUCACUUAUUUCCUCAUUUAGCUCUUUCUUGAUCUUUCAAAAUCUAAAGUCAUUCAAUUUGCACAAUUUUCUUCCCUUGAACCUGAGAUAAAUCUCCAAAGUAUAGAUUAAACUCAUGGCUAGGGCCUUAGCAUUGAUUUAGGUCAAGUUGGGUGAUUUGAAUGUCCUUUGGUGCACAAAUCAUAUCGAAUAUGUGCCAUUAGAGCACAUAUUUUGGCUCCAAUCAGGCCCACAACACCAUUGCAUGAUUUGGUGACUAUCCAAGCAUCUAAUCAAACCUCUGGGGCAUGUACUACAUGGCCACCUUUAGCACGGCCACCUUUGGGCCACGUGCCAUCUCCCAGUACAUCAUUUUUUAUUUUUGAAAAUAAUUUUCCAAAUCUUUUUCUUCAAAUAAUUUUCUGUAUUUUAGUUUUUUUUUUAAAUAAUCCCAACUCCACAUUUUUUUUCAUCCUUAGAAUUUUUAGGUUCCAAAAAUCCUUCCAUUUUUAAUAAAAUUUGUUGCCACUUUCUUUGGCAAGCAAUUUUCAUAUUUUCUUUAAUUUUUAAAAAUGUUUUAAAAUAAGUAUGAAUUUUAUUUUGUAAUUCCAAAUGAUGAAAUUUAUGAAAUUAAUUCACGCACAAAAAUAAAUCGGGCUUUGAUGGGGCCCAACAUCAUUGAAUGUUUUCUUUAAAAAUAAAUUUGAGUGAAGCUCAAUACCUGUUAGUGGUGAUUUCUUACUCUAUUUAGUGGCAUGUGUGAUAUACUUUGUGUUCAUUAUGGUUCACUAACCUCAUUUCAUGACAGCGCAUUAGUGCUUGCUACUAAGGUUCUCAUUCACACUCACUUUGACCAUUCUAUCUAUAUUGUUAUGAAUCUCAUGUGUGCAUAUCAUUUUGGUAUCUCUUGAUCUAUCAGUUAAUUGUCACGUCUACUUCAUCUCAUUAGUAGAGACCCGUUUUUAGGGACUUAGAGGGGUACUACAGUCUUUAUCGUACCUUCCCAAUAAGUAACUUAACCCCCGAGCUCAAAUUCGGUUUUUCACCGACCGUCUUUUCCAAAUAAAAAGUCACACUUAAAGUUUUCUUUCCUAUUUUGUUUACCCUUUUAAAAUAAAACAAAAAUAAGUAAUGACUUCAAGUCAUUUUCUAAAAAAUAAAUCAUUUUCAAACAAAAAAAACGAGUUUGUCAUCAAGUGAAAACGCAUGAACAGAAAUGCAGGGUCCACACAUCUAUUUAUUUGUUUUUCAAAAUAAUGUUUUAUUUUCCUAAACCAAAAUAAAAUAAUAUAUAUAUAUAUAGAAAACCUUUAACAACUAAAAGAAUAAAAAAAUAAAAAAAGUUUCAUUUUAAAAUUAUUUAGAAAAUAGUUUUACAUUCUUAAAAUUAGAAAACAUUUUUGUAUUUUUAAAAAUAAAAAAUAUUUUCAAAAUAUAUCUAUUAAUGGUUUUACUCAUGUUUUUUUUUACUAUUUUAAAAAUAAUUAUAUAAAUAUAAAAAUUUAUUAAAAAUAAAGGUAAUAUAUAUAAGAGUUAACUUUAAAAUAUAUUUAAAAAUAUGCAAAACGUAUUAAGAAGAUUUUGAUUCUAAAUAAACUAUUAUUCUACCUCAAUUAAAUGUUCUUAAAUGUAAAUUCAAUCUUUUUCUCUCCCAAAGUCAGGAAAACACCAAUAUUUUUAUUUUUAUUUGGCAUUACCUUCAUCAUGAUACAAAAGCAAAUAAACGAUUUUUUUUUCCCUUUUUAUGAAAUAUUUUCAAAACAGUUGUAAAAUAUAAUUUUUAAAAAUUAUUUUAUAAUGUUUUGUAAAACAAAAAUUUGUUUAAAAAAUUAAAAUAUUCUUAAUUUAUUUUAUAUGCUUUUAAAUAUUCUAUAUGAUUAUUUUGAAAAUAAUUCUUACAAAAUAAAUGGAAACAAAUUAAACAAUAAAAACAUAUUCUAAAAAAUCACUCUAUACUAUAUUUUUAAACUUUACCAUAGAUGUUGUGCUCAAAAUGAAGAAGACAUGGUAUAAAUUAAUUAUUAGAUUCACCCAUUGCUACUACCACCGAGAAUACUCGAGGUUGCAAGCAUGUUACAGUCUCCAUAAAACAUUGAAGAUUUAAUCUGGACAGCUUACAGAUCUUACUUAAAAUUAAUUAAAACAAAUCUAAUCAAAACACAAGUUAAUCUAGAGCUAUAUAAAUGGAACAGCAGAUCAUCUCUCCACAGAGUCAUGAAAUGUCAAACCAGAACCAGACAGCUUUUGCUCUACGAUCUUGUUAAGGCGAUCCACCAUGUCAUUUGUGAGAUGAUUCCUCCAAUCCCCAACCUUACCUUGCCUGAAGAAUAUAUGCUUGCCAAUCUUACGUUUGCCUAGCUGGAAUGUUCCUGUAUUAUUCACUUUCAGGUUGCUUAGAUUCUCAAAGCUGCAAAGCUUUAGAAUUUCAUGCACCACGCCUUGCCUUUCUUCUUCUGAAGAGAAGGGGCAGCCCAUAAACUCUGCUAGCCUCUUGAGAUGAAAUGGUGAAUCCUUCUUCAUAUCCUCAUACUUCAUAAACAGGACUCUCUCUGGCCACUCUAGGCUUGCCUUCCAAUACCCUAAUACAUGAUCCCAGAAGGGUCCAUAAAAAGAAACUCCUUUGCAGAACUGCUCAAAAGCCUCUUCCACGGAAAGAUGUUCAACAUUAUUGUCUGCCAUUCUAUUCAGGAAGUAAAAUGAAGAAACAAACACAUCUUUCGGGUGUCUCUUCAAAAAAUAUCUUUCACAAUUCUAAAAAAUUAGAUUUAUAGGUGGUAUUUAUUUUUUUGAAUUUUUGCUGAAAGCAAUUUAUUUCUAUAAUUUAAGUUGUUUAUUUUUCUAAUUUUUUAUUACUUAUUAUAAACUUUUUACUGAAUAUAAAAAACCAAAAUAUGUAACUUUUUCUAAAUACAAAAAAUAACAUAUUGGUUUUUCUUUACUUUUUAAUAUUUAAUAAAAAUAAAAUACUAUAAAAACAAACAACAAAAUAUUUAACACUAUUAAACAUUAAAGUUCUAUUUAGAAUUAAGUAAAUAAAUAUCAUCUAAAAGUGUCUCUUAAAAUGACUUUUUUUAUAAUUUCACAAAAUUCAAUAUACACGAAAGGUGUCUCUUAAGGUGACAUCUUCCAUAAUUUCACAAAUUUUAAUUUAUACUAUAAGUGUAUUUUGAAAUUGAUUUUAUAUUAAAAAACAUAUUCUAUAAUUCCAAAAAAAUUAAAUUUAUAUUAAAAAUAUCUUUUUAAUAGAUAUUUUUCACAAUUUCACAAAUUCCACUUUAUACUAAAAAGUAUCUUUUGAAGAUGUACGUUUCAUCUCCACCCAUAAAAAGUAGGAGAUCACCUCAAGCUCAAUAUAGAACAAGUUUGCACUUUCAAUAUAUACAAAAGUUUUUAUAUUAUAUGAAAAAGUCUUUGUUUUCAAAAAAAAUAAAAAAUAAAAAAUACAUCCGAGCAUUAUUGUCUUACUUUUUAUUUAAUUAUUUAACAUGUUAUUUACAUUAUGCUUGUUUAAUUGCUUUAAAAUUUUAUUUUUAUUGUAUUUAUUGAACUAUCUAUAUAUAUAUUUGAUAGGAUGAAAAAGAAGAGUGGAAAUGGAUAUUCGGAUAUUUAAAUAAUUUAAAUGAUAAUAAUCAUUUAAAUCCUACUAAUAAAUGAUAUAAAACAAUUUAAAUUUAUUAGUUUACCUUUUUAUUUUUGUUCAAUUUAUACUAAUUUUUAUGGUUAAUUUUUAUUUAUUGAAUAAAUAUUAUUUUUUAAGUCUUAUUAUUUAACCAAAAAAACUUCAAAAAGAUGUUUUUUUUUAAAUAAAAAACUUAUUUUAAAUUAUGUGUAAAAAUAUUAUUAUUAAUUUAUUUUUCUUCCAUUGUCAUUUGCAUUAUUAUCAAAUAUUAAAAAUAUUUCUGGCAAUUUCUUGGGAUCAACAUUUUUUGGCACCACCAUUCAUUUCAUUACUACCGCAGUGCUUGUCUGGUGGUUAGGGUGUAGGUGAGAUAUAUUUCUGGGGACCACAUUUUUUGGCACCAUCAUUCAUUACAUUACUACCGCAGUGCUUGUCUGGUGGUUAGGUGUAUGUGAGAUAUAUUUAUUUCAAAUGGGAAAAGUGUAGUUGAGAUUUAUUUUUUAUUUUUUAUUUUUUAAAAAGAAUAUAAGAAUUUUUAUCUCAUACUUCUAUUAAAAAUCUCUUCAAAACUUUAAAAAUACUUCUUUAAAUUUCAGAAAUUUCUAAAACUAUUUGCAAAUGCAUCAAGUAUAUAGCUACUUUGUAUAUAAAAAUUCCCACAUUUUCUACUUUUAAAACAAAAAAUAAAAAAUAAAUCUAAACAUUUCUUCUUUUUUUUAAUUAUUUAAUAUGUCAUUUAUAUUAUGCUCGUUUAGUUACUCAAAAUUUUCAUUUAACUAUAUAAUUUACUAUUAUCAAACAAUUUUAUUAUGAAUAUAUAAAAGAGAAAGAUAAAUAUAUUUAUAAAUAUAUAAUUAAUGUUUUUUUUUUCUUAGAUAAGUUAAAUCUUUGAUUUUCACAUAUGAGUAUAUGGUUGAACAUAAAGAUUUAAUUCAUUUUACUCGUUCCUUUCGUGAUAAGCAAUAUAUAUAUAUAGCCAAAAGCACAUUCUUUAAAGUGGAUCCGUGACAAGCAAUACAUAGAUAUAGUCAAAAGCACAUUCUUUAAAGCGGAUAAUAUUUAUAGGACGAAAUAUGAAUAGUUAUAAAUGGAGUCAGAAUAAAUGUCAAUUUUGAUAUGAAAAUUUAUUCAAUGGUGUAAGGAACUUAUAAAGUAAAUCUCGAUUAUAAUGUGGGAAUUUGUUUGACUCAUUAAGAAAUGUAUUUGAUCUAUCAUCAUGUAAGAUAUUAAAACUCUGAUAGUUGAUUGAGGUGGUUACAACUUAUGAUAUCACACUCAUAAAUACACAUGAAGGUGGAGUUGUAGCAUGGUUCAAAGUCGUGGUAUCGAUCAUUAACUCGAAAGGUCAUGAGGUAUAUUGGUCUUGGUGUUUCGAUUUAAUAUUGGACAAUACGUAAAAUAAGAUAAUUAGAAAUUUCAUCAAAAAAUUAUAAAAAUAUAAUAUUAAUUAUAAAUAAAUAAGCUGAAAAUUUUAAUAAAAUGAUUUUUUUCAUAUUUAGCUCAAUGUUAUUUGUGAUAAUAUUAAGAAUUGAUGAUUUAAUUCUCACCUUGCCAUAUAAAUACUUUAAUUUAUCUCUAAAUCCCAUUCAUACCUUUCAUAUCAUUUUACUUCACUGAUUUGAGCUCCCAAUCUCCCACCCUUGCACGCCACCGCCAAGAGCCACAACAGACGACACCACCUGCAAUUGCAAAUUUGCAACCGUGCAAGACCCAACAGAGGGGGAGCAAUCUGACUGUGAGCGGGCGUAGACAGGUAUCAUGGCCACUGUUCACCCUCCUGAGAAAUCUUUGAUGCGGGAGGAUGAAGAUGAAAAAGAGAAGGCCAGGAAAAGAAACAAUGAGAUCAUAUCAAGUCUUGGAAAAGAAGAAGGCUGGAUGGAAGAGUAUACGUAUGAAUACCAAGGUUUUUGGUACCCUUCAGUGACUGUAGUAGAAGGAGUCAUGUGGGUGCAACAAAACUUCAAGCCGCGCCAUGAAGAUAUUCUUCUGGUCACCCUUCCCAAAUCUGGCACAACAUGGUUCAAACCUCUCAUGUUUGCUGUCAUGAACCGAACCCACUUUGAUCUCUCAACACACCCUCUUCUCACCACCAGUCCCCAUGAUCUUGUUCCCUUCUUGGAACUGUUCCUCAGCCACAAGAUCCCCUUCCCAAAUCCGGAUACUUUCUAUCCACCUCAACUCUUCCAGACCCACAUCCCUUUUUCUUCAUUAUCACAAUAUGUAAUGGAAUCUCAGUGUCGAAUUGUCUAUAUUUGCCGAAAUCCGAAAGAUGUGUUUGUUUCUACAUUUUACUUCCUGGAGAAAGUGAGAGAUAAGAAGUUAACACCCCUUUCACUUGAGAAGGCAUUUGAGCUGUUCUGUAAAGGGGUCUCUCUGUAUGGACCCUUUUGGGAUCAUGUAUUAGGGUACUGGAAGGCAAGCUUGGAAGUGCCUGACAGGGUGCUGUUCUUGAAAUACGAAGAUAUGAAGAGGGACUCCUCUUUUCAUCUCAAAAGAUUGGCAGAAUUCAUGGGCUACCCUUUCUCUGUAGAGGAAGAAAAACAAGGAGUGGCGCAUGACAUUCUAGAGCUGUGCAGUUUCGAGAACCUAAGGAAUUUGAAGGUGAACAAGACAGGAAAAAUAAUUACAAGUAACAAUAAUCAACUGGAGAAUCAUAGAUUUUUCAGGAAAGGUGAGGUUGGAGACUGGAAGAGACAUCUAACAGCUGAGAUGGAGGACGGCCUUAACAAGCUGAUUGAGCAAAAGUUGGCUGGUUCUGGUUUGGCAUUCCGUGACUCCUCCGAGGCAUGAGCGCCUGUCUAUCUACUGAGUUGCGGAUGUGAUUAUGUAAGGGUUUGUAUUAAGUUAAGUGGUUUGAGGGUGAAUUAAUAUUUUGUAUUAAUAGUUAAGUAGUUUGCAUUUAUUGGUGUGAAUGUAAGAAUUCUCCGAGUUUGUUUGAUAAUUAUUUUCAAAAAUAAUUUUAAAAAACAGUCUUUAAAAACAAUUUUUAAAAAUUGUAUUUUUUUUUUUUUAUGUUUUAUAAAAUAAAAUUUUAUUUGAAAACAUAAAAUAUUU
rnacentral:lncRNA from 1 species